GAUGAAGAACGUAGCGAAAUGCGAUAAGUAAUGUGAAUUGCAGAAUUCAGUGAAUCAUCGAAUCUUUGAACGCACAUUGCGCCCGCCAGUAUUCUGGCGGGCAUGCCUGUUCGAGCGUCAUUUCAACCAUCAAGCCCCCGGCUUGUGUUGGGGACCUGCGGCUGCCGCAGGCCCUGAAAACCAGUGGCGGGCUCGCUAGUCACUCCGAGCGUAGUAAUACAUCUCGCUCAGGGCGUGCUGCGGGUUCCGGCCGUUAAAAAAGCCUUAUUUACCCAAGGUUGACCUCGGAUCAGGUAGGAAGACCCGCUGAACUUAAGCAUAUCAUAAGCGGAGGA
rnacentral:misc_RNA from 1 species